CAUAUCAAAAAGCGGAGGAAAAGAAACCAACAGGGAUUGCCUUAGUAACGGCGAGUGAAGCGGCAAAAGCUCAAAUUUGAAAUCUGGCACCUUCGGUGUCCGAGUUGUAAUUUGAAGAAGGUAACUUUGGAGUUGGCUCUUGUCUAUGUUCCUUGGAACAGGACGUCACAGAGGGUGAGAAUCCCGUGCGAUGAGAUGCCCAAUUCUAUGUAAAGUGCUUUCGAAGAGUCGAGUUGUUUGGGAAUGCAGCUCUAAGUGGGUGGUAAAUUCCAUCUAAAGCUAAAUAUUGGCGAGAGACCGAUAGCGAACAAGUACAGUGAUGGAAAGAUGAAAAGAACUUUGAAAAGAGAGUGAAAAAGUACGUGAAAUUGUUGAAAGGGAAGGGCUUGAGAUCAGACUUGGUAUUUUGCGAUCCUUUCCUUCUUGGUUGGGUUCCUCGCAGCUUACUGGGCCAGCAUCGGUUUGGAUGGUAGGAUAAUGACUAAGGAAUGUGGCUCUACUUCGGUGGAGUGUUAUAGCCUUGGUUGAUACUGCCUGUCUAGACCGAGGACUGCGUCUUUUGACUAGGAUGUUGGCAUAAUGAUCUUAAGCCACCCGU
rnacentral:rRNA from 1 species